rnacentral:lncRNA from 1 species
UCUUAUUAGUCCGGAAUCAUUCAAAUUAAGAACAAAAGCUUGUUGCUUUUUCUUUCCCUAUAAUUUAAUUGAAGCCGCAGCCCUAUCCAUUUAUUCAUUCGACCCAACUUUAUUUUGUUCCGUUCCAAGAAUUCUAACACGGUUUUAUGCCCAUCUAGGACUAAGUGAUGCUCAUCAGUGUCGGGACAUCGCCAGAAAACGAAUAGAUAGGUGGUUCAGUAUAGUUUUAAGUAAAUAUCAAAAAAAGAGUUUGUUAAUUAUAUACCAUAUUUUGAUGGUUGAGUGACGAAGGAGAAGAGAGAUAGCAUCCCGACU